rnacentral:rRNA from 1 species
AUUGAACGCUGGCGGCAGGCCUAACACAUGCAAGUCGAGCGGAUGAAGGGAGCUUGCUCCUGGAUUCAGCGGCGGACGGGUGAGUAAUGCCUAGGAAUCUGCCUGGUAGUGGGGGAUAACGUCCGGAAACGGGCGCUAAUACCGCAUACGUCCUGAGGGAGAAAGUGGGGGAUCUUCGGACCUCACGCUAUCAGAUGAGCCUAGGUCGGAUUAGCUAGUUGGUGGGGUAAAGGCCUACCAAGGCGACGAUCCGUAACUGGUCUGAGAGGAUGAUCAGUCACACUGGAACUGAGACACAGUCCAGACUCCUACGGGAGGCACCAGUGGGGAAUAUUGGACAAUGGGCGAAAGCCUGAUCCAGCCAUGCCGCGUGUGUGAAGAAGGUCUUCGGAUUGUAAAGCACUUUAAGUUGGGAGGAAGGGCAGUAAGUUAAUACCUUGCUGUUUUGACGUUACCAACAGAAUAAGCACCGGCUAACUUCGUG